GAUGAACGCUAGCGGCAGGCCUAACACAUGCAAGUCGAGGGGUAGAACACUUCGGUGUUUGAGACCGGCGCACGGGUGCGUAACGCGUAUGCAAUCUACCUUAUACAGGGGAAUAGCCCAGAGAAAUUUGGAUUAAUGCCCCAUAGCAUUACGACUUGGCAUCAAGAUGUAAUUAAAGUUCCAACGGUAUAAGAUGAGCAUGCGUCCCAUUAGUUAGUUGGUAAGGUAACGGCUUACCAAGACGAUGAUGGGUAGGGGUCCUGAGAGGGAGGUCCCACACACUGGUACUGAGACACGGACCAGACUCCUAAGGGAGGCAGCAGUGAGGAAUAUUGGUCAAUGGUCGCAAGACUGAACCAGCCAUGCCGCGUGCAGGAAGACGGUCCUAUGGAUUGUAAACUGCUUUUAUACAGGAAGAAACCCUCCCACGUGUGGGAGCUUGACGGUACUGUAGGAAUAAGGAUCGGCUAACUCCGUGCCAGCCGCCGCGGUAA
rnacentral:rRNA from 1 species